UUUUUUUUUUUUUUUUUGUUCUUUUUGUCUUUUCUAUGGCAUAUGGGAGUUCCCAGCCUAGGGGUCCAGUCGGAGCUGUAGCCACCAGCCUGCUCCAGAGCCACAGCAAUGAGGGAUCUGAGCCGUGUCUGCAACUUACACCCCAGCUCACAGCAACGCUGGAUCCUUCACUCACUGAGCGAGACCAGGGAUCAAACCCGCAAUCUCAUGGUUCCUAGUCGGAUUCGUUAACCACUGUGCCACGACGGGAACUCCUCCUCUGGUUUCUGAUUGACUUUAUUCUCUCCUCUUGAAGAUCGGUUUUCCCCAAGACCCCCAGGGCAAAUUUCCAUGCUGUCCUCAUUUACACAGUCCAGGCAGGAACUCUGACGGUCCUGACGUGGGUUGUGUUUCAUCCCUCAGUCAUCUCUGUCCGGGUGGCAUUGGGAGGGUGUUUCCCAAACAGCCAUGCCUGGGUUCACAUACCUGAGUUCACAUUGCAGUGGAUCUCGCAGGAUCCACUGCAGGAAACAUGUGGAAGGGGAAUCAAGACAGUAGCCUCAUCACCCAGGUUACUGCAAAGACCAACGUGUGAUUACUGUCCCUUGGAUGUGGUUCGCCGUCAUUGUUGGCAGCAUGAAAACACAUGGUCUUGGAAGUUAGGAUCGUGAGGAAAUGUUUAAAUCCCUAUAAACCUCGGUUUUCUCAUAUAAAACCAGGAGAUAAUAAUUUCUCUCUCCCUGCUUUGUUAUGAUUAAGUCAGAUAACCUAAGAACGUGCCUGGAACAUGCGCUCAGCAAAUGCUAGUUAUUAUUCCCCAAGUUCUGCUAUCCUUGCACCUGGGCUGCCUAGGUCAUGCACUCCCCCCCCCUUUGAUGUCCCCAUUUCUUACUUUGCAGUGAGGAACAAAGCUCUCAAGUGGGCCAAGCACCCCCACCUGUUCCUCACUACUCCCUCCCUGAGGCAAGCCACAUGGCAGGGCAGAUUAUCAGAGGGUAGGGUCUUGAGAAUGAGACUGGAAUAUGCAAAAGAAUUUGGGUGGUUUUAAGAGGAGUUUCUCCACCAGGAUGCCUGAAACACUUUCAUUUGCUACAUUAGCAACUCAGUUCGUCACCUACUUGACGUAAGGAACCCCCCUGAGAGUCUGAUUGAAACUAUGGAUACUCUUCUCUGAAAGAUGCACAAUUGUACAAGUUCAGGAAGGGCACAGAGUUUUAGGAAGCCCAGCCAUGGGAGCCCAGGUUCAGAGUCCCUGCACUAGAUGGGGAAUCUUGCUAGGGAACCUCUGGUACCUGCUAACCCAGAUGGUGCUUGGAUGGGCACUGCCCACUCUCCCUCCAUGACUCUCCUUUGUCCAGUCACCUGGGUCUGACCAACCCUCUUUCUGAUGGACUUUUUUUUGUCAGGGAACCGACGAGUCUAGACAUGAUGUGUGACCUCAAGAAGUCUUUGUUCACUUAGGUUUCAGUCAAGAACUGCGGCCUCAGGGCCAUUCUGUCUCUUCAAGUUGACCCCACACUUCUAUUUUGAUGCAUGACCUGUGGAUUUUAAAGGUUUUAUAUCAAGUAUUCUUAUUUCAUUGUCUUUGAGGGAUAUCAGGAUUCUUUUGCGUGCAAUAGGUGGAGAAUCCAGGUUCAAAAUGGUAUAGGCAAACAGAGGGAAUGGCUCACACAAGUGAAAAAUUCAAGAGUCAUGUCCCACGUCAGGCACAGCUGCAUCUAGGGGCUCAGACAUCACCAUGAGGCCUGGGUCUCACAUCACGUACUAGCUCUUUCUUUGUUUGGGCUCCAUUCCCAGGCAGUGUUUCCCAGUUCAUGGCAGAAUGGUCUAAACAUCUUCUCUACUCAGAGAUGUAAAGAAGCCCAUUUCAAACCAGCUUCCCAUCUCUGCCUGGGAAUAAAGCAAGCCUAAGACUAUCUCCUUUCCCCAUCCAACCAGAAUGUGCUCAUUUACUCAUCCUACUCUUUGAUGCGGGGCAGCGGUCAGGGGGACAAAUUGACACGUGACUUGUAGAAUGAAUACACUGUUGUCAAAGAUGUGCCGUAGUAGAGUUGGGAAACAGGUGCAAUGGGGAUCCAGAGGAAGGAGUGAUAAAUUCCGCCUGUGAGCCUCAGAGAAGGCUUCCCUGAAUAGGGGAUGUUCGAGCCUCAUCCUAAAGCACAAGGAAGAGUCUUCUAAGUAGUGAAGAGGGUGGGAAACAGCACACGCAAAGGCUUGGAAGCCCCAGAAAGCAGAGAAUGUCCAGGAAUCUGUGAUGAAUGUGGUACAGCUAGAGAAAGGUGCUGGGGUAGGAGUGUUGAGAGAGAGGAAGACAUGGGACAGAGUGGCAAGACAUAUGAGGCCUUGAUUAUCAGGAUAAGGAUUCUGGGCUUUCCUGAGGAGUAAGGGGCAGAGAACUGAAGAGUUUCAAGCCCCUGAUGGAACCAGAUGGCAGAUGUUGGCCAGAUGGCCCUGGCUAAGCAUGGAAGACGGGUUGGGGGAAAAAGGUCCUGAGACAGGGGACUUCUUCCUGGAGAAGCUCUUGCCAUCUUCCGGUAGAACCGAGGCCGAUGCAAGAGGAAAGGGUUUACAAGCUCUGUAGGAGGGAGAAUUGACAGACCUGGAGACCAGAUGGAUGGGGAUCGAAAAAGGAAGGGCCUAGGGUAAUUCCCAGGUUUCUCUGAUGAGAAACUGGGUAAAUGGUGGCAGCCUGCACUGAGUCAGGGAACACGGGAGAGGAGCAGGCUGAGAAGUGAGGGGAGGACGAGGAGUUCAGUCUUAAGCAUGUCCGUGACCUUGAGACAUCAGCUUGCAGCUGUCCAGGUGUCAGCUGGCUUCCUGCAUCUGGAGCCCUGGGGAGAGGUGGGUCCGGGGGACACACCUGAGGCCAGUGGGCUGCAGGUGGUGCUGGUGGUGGAAGCAGUGCUAACCUAGAUGGGGCACCACCACUAGAAACAAAAAGCCCCACAGUUGUUAUUAUUGUCAUUUUUGGCGUUACUCUUUUCUUCUGUCCUUGCAUGUUCUCUUCAAGAUUCCAAGUGCUGGUGGAGGGAGAGUCCACUUGGCUAGCGGAGUCAUGGGCCUACUCCUCGGCUUGGGGAAGGCACGAGGGCUUUCAUUCACCCGAGAUGUCAUCAAGCAUAGAAAGGGGGCAUGGACCCCCCC
rnacentral:lncRNA from 1 species